GGUUACAGGGUGGCGAGAUGUCCAGGCACUGGCAGCAUUCUCUGCAAGCCGAGAGCAACAGCACAUGUGCCACUGGAGACGGUGCUCAGAGUGGAACUCCUUGAGCGCGACCCCAUUUGCCAAAUAUGUCUGCCCAUUGAAGUUUUUCUGGCUGAACUUGUACAACGUCAAGCGUGAAGCACUCUGGAUCCACAGCAUUGAACCGGCUGGACUCUAAACGAUCUUCGGAAAUGAAGAUCCUUAGAUCAUGGCCGUAAGUAUCGAUGACACAGAAAACCACGAAAGCGUUACUGCAGUACCUCAAGUCGACAGGUCUUGGCGACCGUUUGUAAACUCGUUGCGAGCCUUCAAAUGUGCGCGAAACUGUGCUCCCUCUCUCUUCUCAUUCCUAGAUCCCCUUCCACCAUUGGAGGGUAGCAAACCAGACGUGCGUCUGGUUGACCUACUUGACUUUCAUCUCUUAUAUUUCUCUCUCUAUUUCUCUCUGCAAUAAAACACAAGUCAGUCAAUCAAGGCAAGCCAGCAGGUCUGUUGUCCAACCGGCCCAUUGGGCCAUGAAGAUGUAUAGCCUCUAAUACCUUCCGGGUGGGCCGCCCUGCAUGCCGUAUGGCAUUUGUUUGCUGGUCUUGCUUGUAUCAAAGCGGCGGUGCAGCGGCAUAUACCCGAAAUGAGGAGGGUACAAAUUUUUGAGAGAGUUGGUAAUGUCUACUGUAAGCGCUUCAUCAUCACUGUCUGCAUCAUCACUGUCUGCAUAUUUUUGGCGUUUAAGCUUACGAUAGAAACUUUGGGCGAUGGAGAUUGGUGUGAUUGCAGCGUGUAGAUAAUCCUUUGCGGUGUCACAAUUCUGUCUAUAAGUCUCUGCUCCGAAUAUGUCACUGCUAAAUGUCACUGCUUUCUUCUGUUCUUCCGCAGGCACAAGCAAGUCAGGCCUCAAAUGUUUGGGCCUACAUCAACCUGUCAGGCCGUACCCAUUCGGUAGGCACAAAUGACAAAGUUUAAUGAGCUGCUUCAGCCUUCUGGCUCUUAAAAUGUCGGAGUUGACAAGUGUUCGCUAAUUAGCUUUCCCAUUCAAUGUAGCUGUCACGGGUGCUAUGUAUCGCUAGUGCAGAGAAUUAUUUGUUUGCUACUUUUGUCCUUCUCGAACCCUCUUGCAAGAUAGUACUUCCAGUAAGGCCUUGUCACGCAUACCCAACAUGUAAGCCUGGGUAGGUGAACGUUGUUUAAUAUUUAUUUGCACCGAGAAAGAGUUAGAGUAGGAAGAAUCUUGCUUUUCUUUUCUCAAUAAUUUCCCUAAAGUAAACUAAAUCACGCCUAUGCUUAUUUUGAAGCCAUAAUACUGUAACUGGGCCAAUAAACUGCUGCGUGCUUCAUUACCUCAGUGAUGACUUAUCGAUAAUCAAUAGUUCUGGGAUCAAUAAUUAUUUUCGAAUAGCUUUUGAAUGCUAUGAAAGACAUCUGACUGAAGGGAUUUUCGCACCAGGAAGAUACCUCAUCAGUGAUACAAAUGCGCGACAUAGUAUAUUUCAACUGAGCUGUGUGAAAAUGCCUGAAAAUAGUGCAGUAAGCAUAUUUAGCAGACCCCGUCGGCGUAAGUUGGGUCACAUUGCGGGACACUUGAAGAGACACAAAGCUUUAAAUAUACAAGUAAUCAGCUGAAAUACGUUAAUUAGCCAUUUAUUGACGCAGGAUUGGCGAUGCCAUCAUCCUCUCAAAAAGCACUACAAGUCGUUUUUCAGCGCUUGUCGGCUUAUUGCGCCAUGGCGUGGCUAGGUCCGCUAACGGACGCUGCAAGAAAACUCUGAACACUGGCUCGUUACGUGACCCUAGCUGACUGGCACUCCUUCCGGUUCUCGAAUUGUUGACAGCGGAUUCUCGACCUUUUCCUGUCGCUGCCGCUACCUCAAGUCUCUCCCGCUACGAUGCAACAUUACUGUGUCGCUUGUUGCUGGCUGUCGUAUUCACAAGGACAUAUUCGCUCCUCAUUGGCAUGAGUGACACACUUUGAUCGCUCCGCUCCAUCUGUCCCCCUGUGAUGACCAGCGGUUGUAUACACUCCGCACCGCGUUAGGUCACCAGGAUUCAACAUCCUGGUGACCUAAGUGCUGGAACCGUUGAUACACGUUUCUCGCUAACCCAGAAUGGGAUGCGUGCAUUACUAACGUUCCCGAAGACGACGGACCUCAAUGCGCAACUGCAGUUUCUAGGGG
rnacentral:lncRNA from 1 species